rnacentral:rRNA from 1 species
AUUGAACGCUGGCGGCAGGCUUAACACAUGCAAGUCGAGCGGGGGAAGGUAACUUGCUACCGGACCUAGCGGCGGACGGGUGAGUAAUGCUUAGGAAUCUGCCUAUUAGUGGGGGACAACAUCUCGAAAGGGAUGCUAAUACCGCAUACGUCCUACGGGGGAAAGCAGGGGAUCACUUGUGACCUUGCACUAAUAGAUGAGCCUAAGUCGGACUAGCUAGUUGGUGGGGUAAAGGCCUACCAAGGCGACGAUCUGUAGCGGGUCUGAGAGGAUGAGCCGCCACACUGGGACUGGAACACGGCCCAGACUCCUACGGGAGGCAGAAGUGGGGAAUAUUGGACAAUGGGGGGAACCCUGAUCCAGCCAUGCCGCGUGUGUGAAGAAGGCCUUAUGGUUGUAAAGCACUUUAAGCGAGGAGGAGGCUCUUUUGGUUAAUACCCAGAAUGAGUGGACGUUACUCGCAGAAUAAGCACCGGCUAACUCUGUGCCAGCCGCCGCGGUAA